GACGAACGCUGGCGGCGUGCUUAACACAUGCAAGUCGAGCGGUAAGGCCCUUUCGGGGGUACGACGAGCGGCGAACGGGUGAGUAACACGUGGGUGACCUGCCCUCAGCUCUGGGAUAAGCCUGGGAAACUGGGUCUAAUACCGGAUAUGACUCCAUGACGCAUGUUGUGGGGUGGAAAGCCUUGUGCGGCUGAGGAUGGGCCCGCGGCCUAUCAGCUUGUUGGUGGGGGA
rnacentral:rRNA from 1 species